UACGAAGGUCCCAAGCGUUAUCCGGAUUUAUUGGGUUUAAAGGGUGCGUAGGCGGGUUAUUAAGUCAGUGGUGAAAGCCUUCAGCUUAACUGAAGAAUUGCCAUUGAUACUGAUGAUCUUGAGUAUGAUUGAGGUGGGCGGAAUGUGUCAUGUAACGGUGAAAUGCUUAGAUAUGACACAGAACACCGAUUGCGAAGGCAGCUCACUAAGUCAUAACUGACGCUGAUGCACGAAAGCGUGGGGAGCAAACAGG
rnacentral:rRNA from 1 species